AUGCACGCUGGCGGCGUGCUUAACCCAUGCAAGUCGAACGAAGCACUUUAUUUGAUUUCCUUCGGGACUGAUUAUUUUGUGACUGAGUGGCGGACGGGUGAGUAACGCGUGGGUAACCUGCCUUGUACAGGGGGAUAACAGUUGGAAACGGCUGCUAAUACCGCAUAAGCGCACGGCAUCGCAUGAUGCAGUGUGAAAAACUCCGGUGGUAUAAGAUGGACCCGCGUUGGAUUAGCUAGUUGGUGAGGUAACGGCCCACCAAGGCGACGAUCCAUAGCCGACCUGAGAGGGUGACCGGCCACAUUGGGACUGAGACACGGCCCAAACUCCUACGGGAGGCAGCAGUGGGGAAUAUUGCACAAUGGGCGAAAGCCUGAUGCAGCGACGCCGCGUGAGCGAAGAAGUAUUUCGGUAUGUAAAGCUCUAUCAGCAGGGAAGAUAAUGACGGUACCUGACUAAGAAGCACCGGCUAAAUACGUG
rnacentral:rRNA from 1 species